AGCAGCCACCUUUUAAAACGCGUCAAAGCGUAACCUUAACCCCCAAAUACCAUUAAUCUUCAUGAACCCUCAAUUUAUAAUGAAUGACUCCAUAUUUAUAUGGAAGACACCAUGCUAGGAUUAGUAACAAGAAUUUAUAAUUCUCCAAAAUGCAAGUAUAAACCAACAUGGAUAGACCAUUGGUAGUCACCGAAUCUAAAUUUACUGCAAUAACACCCACAAGAAAACUCUGCAGUACUUACUCGUUAACCUAACACCAGCGCAUUAUAGGAAAGAUUUAAAAAAAGAGAAGGAAUUCGGCAAAUGACGGCCCCGCCUGUUUACCAAAAACAUCGCCUCUUGACUUGUAAUAAGAGGUCCAGCCUGCCCAGUGAAUUUUAAACGGCCGCGGUAUCCUAACCGCGCGAAGGUAGCAUAAUCACUUGUUCUUUAAAUGGGGACUUGUAUCAACGGCAUCACGAGGGUUUUACUGUCUCCUCUUUUUGAUCAGUGAAAUUGAUCUUCCCGUGAAGAAGCGGGAAUAAGCUUAUAAGACGAGAAGACCCCAUGGAGCUUAAAACCAAAUAACAACUUAACCACUUACCCCACUAUAAAUUUAAGCCCUGUUAUAAGGUUUUUGGUUGGGGUGACCGCGGAGUAAAACACAUCCCCCACGACGGAAAGAACACACUCUUUAUUUAAGAACCACAAUUCUAGAAAUUAGUAUACUAACGUUUACUGACCCGACAAUCGAUCAACGGACCAAGUUACCCUGGGGAUAACAGCGCAAUCUACUUCAAGAGCCCAUAUCGACAAGUAGGCUUACGACCUCGAUGUUGGAUCAGGGUAUCCCGGUGGUGCAGCCGCUACCGAAGGUUCGUUUGUUCAACGAUUAAAACCCUACGUG
rnacentral:rRNA from 1 species